AUAAACCGCCAAUAAAAGUCUAAAAGCUUAAGCAUCAAUCAAUCAAACUCUGCAAUGAAGAGAACUCAGCGAUUCAAGCGAGUCUCAAAGCCCAAGAAAUCGAUUCAAGAGAGCGAACCCGACGUAGACUCAGCUGCAAAUCGGUCAACUCAGCUUCUGAAAUCCAUAAGCACUAGAAUCAAACCCAAAAGGCCUACAAUUCUUUCACUUCCACCCCCAACGUCAUUGACUUUUGAUCAAAGGACAAUCUUGCCCCGUGAAUUCUUUCAAAUUGACGCUCUUGACCUAGCUCCUCGUCUACUUGGGAAGUUCUUGAAGAGAGACAACGUUGUUUUGCAAAUUACUGAGGUAGAAGCUUAUAGACCGAAUGACUCAGCUUGUCAUGGCAGAUUUGGGAUUACAGCACGAACUGCUCCAGUUUUUGGACCGGGAGGGCACGCUUAUGUUUAUCUUUGCUAUGGUUUGCAUACAAUGCUCAAUGUUGUUGCGGACAAAGAAGGAAUUGGUGCUGCUGUGUUGAUUCGUUCUUGUGCUCCGAUUAGUGGGAUGGAUACCAUUCAGGAGCGACGCGGUCAGCAAACAGAUAAGCCUGCUCUCCUCAAUGGACCUGGCAAGAUUGGUCAAGCACUGGGGAUUUCUACGGAAUGGUCUAACCAUCCCCUUCACUCUCCUGGUGGUUUAGAACUCUUGGAUGGCCCAGAACCUGAAAAGAUACUAGUCGGUCCACGUGUCGGCAUUGAUUAUGCUUUACCUGAACAUGUAAGUGCACUGUGGAGAUUUGCCAUUGCUGGUACUGCCUGGAUAAGUGCUCCCAAAAACACUCUAAGACCGCCCUAAUAUUGAAGCAGCAAUGUGCUAUGUGAAGUUGGGAGCAAGAGAGAACCCUUUUGUCUUAAAUUGAAAAACACAUGUUCAUCAAGUCUUCGAACCUAUGCAAGGGGCCAAGGCUGUCCGAGUCUCCGAAAGCCUCGUUUGUUGUUUCUCAUGGGCUCUCUAAUCCCAAAAAUUAUUGCAACUUAAUCCUUGUAGUUUAGCAAAAUAAUUAAUUACUCCUCAUGGUUUCAGAAGCUAUUAUUAAAUCCCUCUUUUUUU